CUCCGUGCCAAAGUUAUAAAAGCAACGAGCGUCUCGGCCACGCCCUGUGGCGAGUGGGAGUUGGAUUUGCAAGCGAGCGUAGGAGGUCAGCGGUAGUUCAGCAUUAGCAUAUAGCAUUAGCAUAUCCUAGUCUUUAGCAUAUCUUUUAGUGUUAUAAAUACUUAUUUAGUGUUAGAUUUGGCUGUUGGAUAUUGUAGUUUAGUUAGUGUUUGGCUGUUAGUGUAAUUGGGAAAGUAGUUCGGGUUUAGUGCUCCAUAUCGUGUUAGUAUUGGUGAGUAGGUGUAGUGUAGUAUGGUUGAGGUGACUCUGUGGGCAUUUUACCCGCGAUUCUGCACGUCUCCGUUUGAAGAGGGAGGCUGCCCACCAUGGCUCUUCCGCGAUUUAGAUGCGGCCCACCGACUCUGCUCCCCCACCACGGCGGGCUCCAGUCUGAGGCUAAAUCUACCCAAGACACUGGCUGUCAGACUGAUUUAGCUGCAAUAAUGCACUUGUCCAGGCAGACGUGAAGCCUUACCUGUAGCAAAGCCAGCCAGAAUGGAGUUCACAGCCGCAGUGUGUCUGGUGACCCACAGGGACCAUGAUGGAAAUUCAUCUUCCAGAAGGUCCCAGAGCAGCGGCCACACCCCCCUGAAAAGACCAAGGUGUGAGGUGUCUGCUGUUGAUUCCAGCUUCCACCUCAGUGACAGUGCAAGCUCAGUGAACUGUUCAAGGUAAAAAAAAAAUUAAAACAUUUCAGAAUUUUUAAGAUAUUAACAAUUAAAUAAGUAUGUGAUUACAUCAUGAUGGAGGCUACUGAUUCUGGCCCUGUGACACUUGGUGGUGACAUGUGAGCUGAUUCACCUGGAAAACAACUUUUACAUUAAAUAUUUUGUUUUUGCUAUCAAAAGUAAAUUAACUAAUAACCUGCAUUAUUGCAGGACACUCAGCAAAAUAUGGACUCUACACCAUGAGGCAGGCACACAUUAAUAUUCUAUAAGAGCACAUAAGGUGAGCAACACCACAUAUUGUACACUGUCCUGAAUUUGUUUUCUUUCUGCAUCUCAUUAGCCUGGCUGAUCACCUGAUAACUCCUGUCAUCUGGUUAUGACAGCAUGAGGAUGUCCUCACACACCUGUAACCUAUCAGCUCCUCUGGCAGAAUAGAGAGGGGAGACAACACCACAUCUCCUGUUCCUGGAAAGCCUUCAGCCAUCCUUCGAUGACUGAGAACCUCCAUCAGCUCUGUCUCCUGUCUGCCUACAAUUAUUAUAAUAAAUAUUGUGUUUGACAAGUUUUUUUGUGCUGCCAAAUAUCUCAUAUAGAUUCCAGUUUUGAUAUUUUAAUGGAUAUUUAUAAAUUACAUAAA